rnacentral:rRNA from 1 species
AGUGAACGCUGGCGGCAGGCCUAACACAUGCAAGUCGAGCGGCAGCGCGGGGGCAACCCUGGCGGCGAGCGGCGGACGGGUGAGGAAUUCGUCGGAAUCUGCCUUUUUGUGGGGGAUAACGGAGGGAAACUGACGCUAAUACCGCAUACGUCCUACGGGAGAAAGUGGGGGACCGCAAGGCCUCACGCAGAAAGAUGAGCCGACGACCGAUUAGAUAGUUGGUGGGGUAAAGGCCCACCAAGGCGACGAUCGGUAGCUGGUAUGAGGGGAUGAUCAGCCAGCCUGGGUCUGAGGCUCGUCCGCGACUCCUGCGCGAGGCCGCAGUCGGGAAUCUUGGACGAUGCGCGCAAGCCUGAUCCAGCCCUGUCGCGUGUGUGAUGAAGGCCUUCGGGUUGUAGAGCACUUUUGUCCGGAAAGUUGUCCCUGGCGCUAAUCCCUUCGGAGAAUGACGGUACCGGAAGAAUAAGCCCCGGCUAACUUCGUG